ACCAAGGAAGAGGAGUUGGUAUCAGGCACAACCAAUAAGCCCACGACACCUAGCCACGCCACACCCACAAGGGUAUUCAGCAGUGAUAAACAUUGUUUAUAAGCGUCAGCUUGAAUCAGUUAAGGCAAAGAGGGCCGGCAAAUCCGGUGCCAGCCGCCGCGGCUACACCGUUAGGCCCAAGUUGACACACACCGGCGUUAAGCGUGAUUAGAGUGAUUACACAGAUUAGAGUUAAACCCAAAUUUAGUCGUGAUACACUUGUCCCCGGGAAACCCAAAAACGAAAGUUACUCUAACCAACCCACUUGACCCCACGACAGCUAAGACACAAACUGGGAUUAGGUACCCCACUAUGCCUAGCCGUAAAACAUAUACUCACCCCAACAAAUCGCCAGGGAAUUACGAGCCCAAGCUUAAAACCCAAAGGACUUGACGGUGUCCCACCCACCUAGAGGACAUGUUCUAUAAUCGAUUCCCCCCGAUAAACCUCACCACUUAUAGCCAACUCAGCCUGUAUACCUCCGUCGUAAGCUUACCAUGUGAACGAAACCAGUGAGCCCAAAGAUCCCACAUCAAUACGUCAGGUCAAGGUGCAGCUAACGAACUGGGAAGAAAUGGGCUACAAUUUAUACAAUAGAACAAACGAAAGACUACAUGAAACAUAGUCACUGAAGGCGGAUUUAGCAGUAAAAAGGAAA
rnacentral:rRNA from 1 species